GAAAUGCGAUAAGUAAUGUGAAUUGCAGAAUUCAGUGAAUCAUCGAAUCUUCGAACGCACAUUGCGCCCGCCAGUAUUCUGGCGGGCAUGCCUGUCCGAGCGUCAUUUCAACCAUCAAGCCCCCGGGCUUGUGUUGGGGACCUGCGGCUGCCCGCAGGCCCUGAAAACCAGUGGCGGGCUCGCUGUCACACCGAGCGUAGUAGCAAUCACCUCGCUCAGGGCGUGCUGCGGGUUCCGGCCGUUAAACAGCCUUACAAAACCCAAGGUUGACCUCGGAUCAGGUAGGAAGACCCGCUGAACUUAAGC
rnacentral:misc_RNA from 1 species